rnacentral:tRNA from 1 species
GCGGGGGUGGCCGAGUCAGGUCAAAGGCGCGGGACUGAGGGUCCCGUGGCGAAGGCCUGCGUGGGUUCAAAUCCCACCCCCCGCA